UGGAAGGUUUCGGCUGGAAGGGUUGUAAUUCAAGCGGCGGACGGGUGAGUAACGCGUGAACAAUCUGUCCCAGACAGGGGGAUAACACUUGGAAACAGGUGCUAAUACCGCAUAAGACCACGAGGAGGCAUCGCAUGAUGCAGUGUGAAAAACUCCGGUGGUAUAAGAUGGACCCGCGUUGGAUUAGCUAGUUGGUGAGGUAACGGCCCACCAAGGCGACGAUCCAUAGCCGACCUGAGAGGGUGACCGGCCACAUUGGGACUGAGACACGGCCCAAACUCC
rnacentral:rRNA from 1 species